rfam:Candidatus Kaiserbacteria bacterium RIFCSPHIGHO2_01_FTLL_49_13 rifcsphigho2_01_scaffold_13035, whole genome shotgun sequence.
GGGCUCGUAGUAUAGUGGCAAUACACCGCAUUCGCAUUGCGGAGACACGAGUUCGAUUCUCGUCGAGUCCA